GGAAAAGUCACGUUCUGUGUGAGUUAUUUACCUGGAAUGUGUCGUCAAAUGGAAUGAGACGGAAUUCACGACACAAGCGGUUCACAAAAUGUUUCGUGUUAGGCUAUAAAAAUGGAUUUUAUCAAACAUAAGAUCAUUCAUUGUGUAACAAUGAGCAUUGGAAUUGCAAACAGAUGAAGGUCGUCAAAGGCUCCAUCGGGAAGAGUGUCACAUGUCUUCAGGGUCAUUCAUAAUCUGGGUCGCCUUGGCAACCACUCACACUGAUGUGUCAUCUACUGAGCAGGGCAGCUUUGACCCUGUCUGAGGGACUGUGUCUGUGUGUCCGUGCCUGCAUGUGUGUGUUUGUGUGAGUGUGUGUCCGACCCUGUCAACAGGCCAGUAGGUCAGAAGGCAAAGUCAACAGUCAACUCUCUUCAAUGACAUGGAUUGAUGGUAACAGUCAUCUCUCCUCAAUGACCAUGGCUUCAUGGUAACAGUCAUCUCUCCUCAAUGACCAUGGCUUCAUGGUAACAGUCAUCUCUCCUCAAUGACCAUGGCUUCAUGGUAACAGCCCUCCUCAAUGACCAUGGCUUAAUGACCAUGGCUUCAUGGUAACAGCCCUCCUCAAUGACCAUGGCUUCAUGGUAACAGCCCUCCUCAAUAACCAUGGCUUCAUGGUAACAGUCAUCUCUCCUCAAUGACCAUGGCUUCAUGGUAACAGCUCUCCUCAAUGACCAUGGCUUAAUGACCAUGGCUUCAUGGUAACAGCUCUCCUCAAUGACCAUGGCUUCAUGAUAACAGUCUGGCAAAUUAUAACAAAUCAACACCCUUCUCGUCCUCCACUUCUUACUCACCCCUCUCCUCCCCCUCCCCCUCUCCUCUCUCACCCCCUCUCCUCUCACUCACCCCGUCUCCUCCCCCUCUCCUCUCUCUCACCCACUCUCCUCCCCUCUCCUCUCACUCACCCCUCUACCUCACCCAACAACAUCAUAACACACACCCACACAGAUCAUUCCAGUUGAUGAAAAACACAUUUUCACUACCUAAUCAAAUUAAGACCUCAAUUUGCCAGAUAAUUUUGUUUUGGUAAAUAAAGCAUUAGCAGCACUAAACUACAUAUAGCCUACCACAGCUCACAGGCUCACAUACUGUGGAGGCUACAUAGACUCACAUCAAAGUGACUCACAUCAUACAGAUGCACAUACAGACAUGCAUGAAUGUACAAGUACACACGGUUACACACACAAACAGAGAGAAAGAGAGGAGAGAGAGAGAGAAAGAGAGAGAGAGAGAAAGAGAGAGAGAGAGAAGAGGGGGAAAGGAUAGACAAAGACACACAGAGAGAGAUGGAGAGAAAGACAGAGAGAGAGAGACAGACAGACAGACAGACAGACAAUUGUAUUGGUGAUCCUGCCAAAUGUUCUCCCAACUGUACACACCGGAUGAUACAUAAAAAAAUAGGAUCUGUUUUUCCUCUGGAAGAGGACUUCUGAUUUAUUGGUCUGUAAAAAAGGAACAGCUCCACCAGGACUAUCAAUGCUGUACUGUACUGUAUUGGCUUUCACUUACAUUGAUCAUAAAAUGACUGUCUUACCCUUUCCACAGGGAAAAUAAAAAUUCAAUCACUUAUAGAGAAGGGGAAAUCAAUCCCCAUGAAACAUCACACUGCUUUUCCUUUCAUUAAUUAGACACAGUACAAUGGUUUAUUAUAAUAGAGAAUUUUUGGGCAGCAACCUAGAAAAUAAUCUAGGGGAAACACUGGAACCCCAAAAACGGAGAGGACUCGCUGACUCGUGAUGCUACACUCUAAUGUAGGGAUUCAUGAACUUUUUCAGCCUGGGACCCAAAUGAGAAAUUCUAUGUGUUCCUGGGACACAAGCUCAGGAAAAUAUGCAACUAUAUGUAAAUAUCUGAAAAUUUCAUUGCCCUUAUGCCCCCCCAAAAAAGAAGCAAUAUAUACAAAAACAAAAAACAAUGAAAUACCCAGAAAUAUAUGUUCAUGUUUAUUUUUCCCCAUUAAAAACACUCUUACACUUACACUCUUACACUUACACUUACACUCUUAC